UACGUAGGUGGCAAGCGUUAUCCGGAUUUACUGGGUGUAAAGGGCGUGUAGGCGGGAUCGCAAGUCAGAUGUGAAAACUGGAGGCUCAACCUCCAGCCUGCAUUUGAAACUGUGGUUCUUGAGUACUGGAGAGGCAGACGGAAUUCCUAGUGUAGCGGUGAAAUGCGUAGAUAUUAGGAGGAACACCAGUGGCGAAGGCGGUCUGCUGGACAGCAACUGACGCUGAGGCGCGAAAGCGUGGGGAGCAAACAGG
rnacentral:rRNA from 2 species